UUCCAGGGUAGUGUCGAGCGGCUUAAUGUGCAAAGCGUUAUUGUUGAGAUCGACGUUGCCGCUGGCGUGCACCAGCUCGCCGUCGAGCGGAAUAUCAAGCUUCAGGUGUCCCUGGGUUUUUCCCUUUAUCUCCAGCUGCUCCAGCGCCGCGCCCAGCGACUUUUUCAGCGGCGUAUCCUGGAAAUAGCGCGCGAUCUGAUCGCCAUUGCCGCUGAUAUCGCCGUCGAUCAGCAGCUUCUCUUUCAGAUAGUCCGGGAUGACCGCGCUGAAAUUGCUGACGUCGACUUCGCCCAGCCUGAAGCGCGGCGCCCGCAUCCACAGCCCGUCGUUGAUAAAGUCGAGAUCGAUAUCGAGCUGCGUCACGUCAGGCCAGUUGGGCUGAAAGGCGUAGGUUCCGUGACGCA
rnacentral:ncRNA from 1 species